GCAAUAGCUCAGUGGUAGAGCAUUCGACUGCAGAUCGAGAGGUCCCCGAUUCCAACUCGGAUGCU
rnacentral:tRNA from 1 species